CAUCCUCAUCCUGAGUAAGGUUCUAUGAGGUCAUAAAGCCAAAGGGCCCACUGUAUAAAGAACACCCCAGCCGGCUCAUCUCCACACCUGCCACACAUUAGAAUUUGCAGAAUACACAAAGAACUGAGAGCCUCACCUUGAACUUUCAAAAUACUUGGAGGUUGCAAACCUUUUGCCAGGAAGACCAUCCAGUUCCCAAGCCCUUGGGUUGGCUGAGCGUAGGGCUGAGCUAAAGCAGCAGCACUUCUGAGAAGUUCCCUUGAGCUCCCCAGCCCUGGCUCCUAUGCACCCAGAGCAUCAGUGCAGAACUCCCAAAGCCCCCUGCUCCUGGGUAUGGCUCACCUGUUCACAUUCCCACAUCGUCAGCCACUCUCAGGCAGGGAUCACAGGACUAAAGUGCAUGAGGAGCCUUGAAAGGCUGAGAAGGGAAACAGACAUGCAGGCAAGCAUCAAGACAAGGCAAAGGGAAGAAGCUCUUAUUUCCACUGAAGUUUCUCAGGGCAGUUAUACUUGGACUACUCCAUGGAAACCCAAACUGCAUCAGAGUAGGAGAAAGAGAAGAGUACAGAUCAAUUACGCAAGCAGUAAAAACAAACUUCCUGUGAGCGUGUGUACACAUGCACACAUGCACACCGGCACAGAUGUUCAGUAGAGGAUCCUGAGUUAUAUUUCUGAAGCUUAUGGCUAGAGGAGAUAUGUAAACUGGCCAAUUAAAUAGUUCCAAAUCUCAUUUGUCUGUUAAUAUUUUUUUCUCUAAACUUCCUGGUUGAGUCCCCUUUGAGUUUACGUUA
rnacentral:lncRNA from 1 species